AUUGAACGCUGGCGGCAGGCCUAACACAUGCAAGUCGAGCGGAUGAAGGGAGCUUGCUCCUGGAUUCAGCGGCGGACGGGUGAGUAAUGCCUAGGAAUCUGCCUGGUAGUGGGGGAUAACGUCCGGAAACGGGCGCUAAUACCGCAUACGUCCUGAGGAAGAAAGUGGGGAUUGUUCGAACCUCACGUUAUAAAUGGAGCUGCGUUCGGAUUAGCUAGUUGGUGGGUGAAUGGCCUACCAAGGGGAGUAACGGUAACUGGUCUGGGAGGAUGAUCACUCACACUGGAACUGGGACACGGUCCAGACUCCUACGGGAGGCAGCAGUGGGGAAUAUUGGACAAUGGGCGAAAGCCUGAUCCAGCCAUGCCGCGUGUGUGAAGAAGGUCUUCGGAUUGUAAAGCACUUUAAGUUGGGAGGAAGGGCAGUAAGUUAAUACCUUGCUGUUUUGACGUUACCAACAGAAUAAGCACCGGCUAACUUCGUG
rnacentral:rRNA from 1 species